CAUAGGCACGGAGUAGCAGGA
rnacentral:misc_RNA from 1 species